rnacentral:rRNA from 1 species
UGUCCUACGGGAGGCAGCAGUGAGGAAUAUUGGUCAAUGGGCGGGAGCCUGAACCAGCCAAGUCGCGUGAGGGACGACGGUCCUAUGGAUUGCAAACCUCUUUUGUCGGGGAACAAAGGCGCCCACGGGUGGGCGGAUGAGUGGACCCGAAGAGAAAGCAUCGGCUAACUCCGUGCCAGCAGCCGCGGUAAUACGGAGGAUGCAAGCGUUAUCCGGAUUUAUUGGGUUUAAAGGGUGCGUAGGCGGACAGUCAAGUCAGCGGUAAA